GACGAACGCUGGCGGCGUGCUUAACACAUGCAAGUCGAACGGAAAGGCCCUGCUUUUGUGGGGUGCUCGAGUGGCGAACGGGUGAGUAACACGUGAGUAACCUGCCCUUGACUUUGGGAUAACUUCAGGAAACUGGGGCUAAUACCGGAUAGGAGCUCCUGCUGCAUGGUGGGGGUUGGAAAGUUUCGGCGGUUGGGGAUGGACUCGCGGCUUAUCAGCUUGUUGGUGGGGUAGUGGCUUACCAAGGCUUUGACGGGUAGCCGGCCUGAGAGGGUGACCGGACACAUUGGGACUGAGAUACGGCCCAGACUCCUACGGGAGGCAGCAGUGGGGAAUAUUGCACAAUGGGAGGAAGCCUGAUGCAGCAACGCCGCGUGCGGGAUGACGGCCUUCGGGUUGUAAACCGCUUUCGCCUGUGACGAAGCGUGAGUGACGGUAAUGGGUAAAGAAGCACCGGCUAACUACGUG
rnacentral:rRNA from 1 species